UUGUUUGUGCAAUUGCUAAAA
rnacentral:piRNA from 1 species